rnacentral:lncRNA from 1 species
CAGCGGAAAAAUGGCCAAAAAACGGGUGGGCUAUAGCCUUGGUGGGGGGCGUGGGCGAAGUUCGUCCGCGGGACUCGGAAUGGCACAAGACUUGGCGGGCGGCCUCCGUGUGCCAAAAAUAGGCCACGGGCACAGCCGCGCCCAAAAAACAGCCCCCGAAGUUCGGGGUGCCAAGACCCCCCAGCGGAAAAAUGGCCAAAGAACGGGUGGGCUAUAGCCUUGGUGGGGGGCGUGGGCGAAGUUCGUCCGCCGGACUCGGAAUGGCCCCAGACUUG